CGCUGCAUCGUUGUUGAAGAUUGGCGGAAACUCCGGUAAGCGCAAGUUCGGAUUUUGAGCGAGCAUUGCGGAGUUGUAUUGUUGGAAAAGCGCCAUUUGACAAGCCAUAAACUCUUCAUUCUGACGAGCCAUUUCCUCUUUCUGACGAGCCAUCGCUCUCUCGACAGCCUCGUUGACCUUAUCUUGAAUCUCUGGUUCGGUCAUUGCAUCUUUUCCUUUGUCCAUGCAGAAGUUCCCCACAUUCAUCCAAU
rnacentral:lncRNA from 1 species